GUGCCUUAUAACUCACCCCUUCUUGUGGGCCGGCUCCAGGUCACCAGCAUAGUCCAUAGUGGGAGCUGGUGACGAUGACACUGGAGGACCUGAAAAUGGGGGCUAGCUCGCUACAGAAACCAGACCAGCCAGGCAGAGUCCUACUAUAGGCAUGCAGCUCAGCUUGUCCCCUCUAAUGGCCAGCCUUAUAAUCAGUUGGCUAUCUUAGCCUCUUCCAAAGGAGACCAUCUGACCACAAUUUUCU